UCUUGGUCAUUUAGAGGAAGUAAAAGUCGUAACAAGGUUUCCGUAGGUGAACCUGCGGAAGGAUCAUUAUGAAUUAUAAAUAUUUGUGAAUUUACCACAGCAAACAAAAAUCAUACAAUCAAAACAAAAAUAAUUAAAACUUUUAACAAUGGAUCUCUUGGUUCUCGUAUCGAUGAAGAACGCAGCGAAACGCGAUAUUUCUUGUGAAUUGCAGAAGUGAAUCAUCAGUUUUUGAACGCACAUUGCACUUUGGGGUAUCCCCCAAAGUAUACUUGUUUGAGCGUUGUUUCUCUCUUGGAAUUGCUUUGCUCUUCUAAAAUUUCGAAUCAAAUUCGUUUGAAAAACAACACUAUUCAACCUCAGAUCAAGUAGGAUUACCCGCUGAACUUAAGCAUAUCAAUAAGCGGAGGAAAAGAAACCAACAGGGAUUGCCUUAGUAACGGCGAGUGAAGCGGCAAAAGCUCAAAUUUGAAAUCGGCCACCAGGUCGAGUUGUAAUUUGUAGAUUGUAUCUUGAGAGCGGAUUAAAGUCUGUUGGAACACAGCGCCUUAGAGGGUGACAGCCCCGUAAAAUCUAUUCUCAUUGUAAGAUACUUUCGAAGAGUCGAGUUGUUUGGGAAUGCAGCUCUAAGUGGGAGGUAAAUUCCUUCUAAAGCUAAAUAUUGACGAGAGACCGAUAGC
rnacentral:rRNA from 1 species